AUACGGAGGGUGCAAGCGUUAAUCGGAAUUACUGGGCGUAAAGCGCACGUAGGCGGUUGAUUAAGUUGGAUUUGAAAGCCCUGGGCUCAACCUGGGAACUGCAUUCAAAACUAGUGAACUAGAGUAUGGUAGAGGGGGGUAGAAUUCACGGUGUAGCGGUGAAAUGCGUAGAUAUCGUGAGGAAUACCGAUGGCGAAGGCAGCCCCCUGGACUGACACUGACGCUGAGGUGCGAAAGCGUGGGAGCGAACAGGAUUAGAAACCCCGGUAGUCC
rnacentral:rRNA from 1 species